GACGAACGCUGGCGGCGUGCUUAACACAUGCAAGUCGAACGAAGAGCGAUGGAAGCUUGCUUCUCUCAAUCUUAGUGGCGAACGGGUGAGUAACGCGUAAUCAACCUGCCCUUCAGAGGGGGACAACAGUUGGAAACGACUGCUAAUACCGCAUACGAUCUAAUCUCGGCAUCGAGGAUAGAUGAACAGUGGCCUCUACAUGUACGCUCUCACUGAAGGAGGGGAUUGCGUCUGAUUAGCUAGUUGGAGGGGUAACGGCCCACCAAGGCGAUGAUCAGUAGCCGGUCUGAGAGGAUGAACGGCCACAUUGGGACUGAGACACGGCCCAGACUCCUACGGGAGGCAGCAGUGGGGAAUCUUCCGCAAUGGACGAAAGUCUGACGGAGCAACGCCGCGUGAGUGAUGACGGCCUUCGGGUUGUAAAGCUCUGUUAAUCGGGACGAAAGGCCUUCUUGCGAAUAGUGAGAAGGAUUGACGGUACCGGAAUAGAAAGCCACGGCUAACUACGUG
rnacentral:rRNA from 1 species